ACUUGUAUCCUAUUCAACAGACAGAAAUUAACUCAAAAUGAAAAUCUUUUUCUUCGCGUGUAUGCUGCUAGUGGCAAGCGCAUCAGCGCUGCCCAAACAAUCUGUUGAAGUUGAAGUAUUGGAAGAUAACGCUAUUGAUGCACAAGCGAGGGAAGCUCGUCUGGUUAGCAACACUAUUAGGAGAAUUAUUGAAAACUUAAAGAGGGAGAUCAGAGACGCGGGAUUGGACCCAUUAUUCAUCGAAAGAUUUGACUAUGAAUACAAUGUGCCAUUUGUCGUCAACAUCAAAGUCUUCGUAGACAACCUUUCCUUCUCUGGCAUCAGCAACAUCGUCAUUCGUACCAUGGAUUACAACUUAAUACUCAACAGACUACGAUUUGACCUUUCUAUGCCAAGAAUCAGUUUAUCUGUUGAAAACGCAGGUAUAACUGCAAGAGCAUUAUUCCAAGACCAUAAAGCGAGCGGAAAUGGAUUCCUCAACAUUAACGAAAUCCGUGUAGUCGGUGAAGUUCGUGUUAAUAUCGGUAUCAUAUCCGGUAUUACAAUCCGCAGCAUUGAUAUACAGUUCAGCCUGGGCGGUAUCAAUGCUGACAUUAACGUUGUAGUACUUGGACAAGACUACUCUGACAUUGUGAAUGAAGUGCUCAACGAUUGGAUUCCCUCUCUCUUGAAACAGUAUGAGGUAGAAAUAAACGAGGCGAUUGCUGACCUCAUUAAAUUCAUCGUCGACUGGGUGCUGUAAAUGAAAUUAUUGAAAAAAUUGCAUGUUUCUCCAUAAGUAUGAAUAAAAAUCUUGUAUUUUAAUGCUAUAUAAA